AGAUGAUCAAGAAGUGGAAACUGAGGAUCAUGAUGAAUUUGAGGAGAAUCAUACUUCACGUGGGGAUAGCAGGGGAAUAUGUGCGGUCUCAGGGGGCUCUGUGAAAAGGUUGAGACAUGGCCAGGGCCAUGAAGAUGCUUGUUUUGGGCAUUCAUCUCAGGAUGGUAACAAAGGUUCCUAUUCUCACCUGCAGAUCGGUCAGGUCGAUAUGAAUCAAAUGUCGUCUGAAAGUACGAGAGCAGCAUGGUCACAGAAGCAGUGGAUGGAAUCUCGCACAAUUCAGUUAGAAGAGCAAAAGUUACAAAUUCAACUUGAGACGUUAGAACUGGAAAAGCAGCGAUUCAAGUGGAAAAGAUUUAGCAGGAAAAGAGAUCAUGAACUAGAGAAGAUGAGGAUUGAAAAUGAAAGGAUGAAGCUUGAGAAUGAGCGA
rnacentral:misc_RNA from 1 species